rnacentral:rRNA from 1 species
CGGGAGUGACUUAGCGGCGGACGGGUGAGUAACGCGUGGGUAACCUGCCCCAUACCGGGGGAUAACGGUUAGAAAUGACCGCUAAUACCGCUUAAGCGCACGAGGCCGCAUGGCCGCGCGCGAAAAACUCCGGUGGUAUGGGAUGGGCCCGCGUCUGAUUAGCUAGUUGGCGGGGUAAAGGCCCACCAAGGCGACGAUCAGUAGCCGACCUGAGAGGGUGAACGGCCACAUUGGGACUGAGACACGGCCCAAACUCCUACGGAAGGCAGCAG